rnacentral:rRNA from 1 species
CGCUGGCGGCGUGCCUAAUACAUGCAAGUCGAGCGGAGUUAGAGAAGCUUGCUUCUCUAACUUAGCGGCGGACGGGUGAGUAACACGUGGGCAAUCUGCCCGUAAGACUGGGAUAACUCCGGGAAACCGGGGCUAAUACCGGAUAAUCCUGACUCUCUCCUGAGAGUCAGUUGAAAGAUGGUUUCGGCUAUCACUUACGGAUGAGCCCGCGGCGCAUUAGCUAGUUGGUAGGGUAAUGGCCUACCAAGGCGACGAUGCGUAGCCGACCUGAGAGGGUGAUCGGCCACACUGGGACUGAGACACGGCCCAGACUCCUACGGGAGGCAGCAGUAGGGAAUCUUCCGCAAUGGACGAAAGUCUGACGGAGCAACGCCGCGUGAGUGAAGAAGGUUUUCGGAUCGUAAAACUCUGUUGUUAGGGAAGAACACGUACGAGAGUAACUGCUCGUACCUUGACGGUACCUAACCAGAAAGCCACGGCUAACUACGUG